ensembl:lncRNA
AAGAGAGUGGCGGAGGUGAAUUUUAGAGAGCAGAGAUCUGGGAAGGACUUUCUGAGAAGAUGCCAUUUGUGCGAAGCCUGAAGAGUGAGGAAUGUGCUGUGUUCCCAGGGGGAAGGACACUCCACACAGAAGGAACAGCACGUGCAAAGGCCCUGAGGCAGGAGUGUGACCAGUGCUGAAGAAGCGGCAGGGAGGCUGGUGUGGCUACAAUGGGGUCAGAGGGAUAGUGACGUGGUCAGAUGGAUCCCGAAGCAGGGCCACUUCAGGCUUUGGAGGCUGUGAUGUACUUGGAGCUUACUCUGCAUCAGAUGAGAAGCCAUCCAAGGGUUUUGAGUAGAGGAGUGGCAAAAUUUCAAAAAAAUCACCCUGACCAACAAGUUGAGAUCAGACAAAGGAUACAGAGGAGGAAGCAGGAGACCAAUUAGGAGCAAUUGGGGGGAUUCCGAGGUGACGGUGAGAAAGGCUCUUUUUUUUUAGACUGGCUGGUGAGGCUGGAGGGAGGGGACCUGUGUCGGGGUCAAGGUUAGGGAGGUGGGCAGGGGCAGGGCAGUCCAGGUUGAGUCUUGCCCCCACGUUGCAGGAACAUUGGGUUUGAUUUCCCAGCGGGGGGGCUGAGAUUUAUCCUGACUGCCCAGUGCAGCAGGGCUGCUGGCAUGAGGGGUGUCCCGGGCAUGGGGAACAAGAUGCUGGGAGACUGGAUCAGGUCAGAAAUGGUGCAAGUGGGAGAUUUGCUCGGUUGUGCUCUGAAGGCCUUGCUGACGGACUGAAGGAAGGAAGAGGAAAGUCAAGGCGGACUCCUGGGUUGUGGCUUGAGCAACAGAAUGGAUGUUGGUUCUGGUUAUGAGAAGCGGAAAACUGGAAGAGAACCAGCCAGGUUUGGGGGAGCAACGAGGGGUUCCACUACGACCAUGACAUAAGACGAUGUUAAAUGGGAGAUGCCUAUUAGUCACUUGGCGCUUCUGUGUGUAAUCUACAAAGGAAGUCACACAUUCAUUCAAUUACUAUUUGUCGAAUGAGUAAGUGGGUGCCAGCCCUUCUGGAUGAGGGAGGCCAGACUGGGAGUCAAAGAUGGCGAUUUAGAGUGAUGAUGCUAACACGACCCCAGGGGAAGCUGUCCCACCCCUGUUACUGUCACCGGUCGUACCAGCCAUUGGCAGAGGAGCUGGGCUGGGAACAAAGAUCGCUCUGCUAUAGGCAAAGGGUCUGCGUGGAGGAGAGACGGCAGGACCCAUGUGCCCAGGCCGGGACUGAACCCAAGUCCUCGUGGGUACCAGUCCAUGUGGAUUCGUUUCCGCUGCACCACAGCAGGAACUCCUAUCUUGUAUGUGAAGUGGUAUCUCAUGGCAGUUUUGAUUUGUGUUGUCUUAGUGACUAAUGAUGUUUUGCUUCUGUCAGUUUCAGCCUCUGAAGGAUGUGGGGUCCCCAGACCAGGACAUGAUGGUAAUUAGAAUAGUGCUGUCGACGCCUUCCCUUCAAGCCUAAAGAGGUGCAGGUUUUAUCAGAGUAGGAGCCAACAGGUAGGCUCUUUCCGCAACACGUGUGGUUUUUGCCUGAGAGCCUGGCAGUGGAAGUGAACGCCUCCCCCCAAAAACAGUUUAAAAAUUAUUUUCACACACUAAACAAGUAGCUGAAGAAAAAAAUAAACUAACGUGGAUAAAAGAGAAACUCUACCGGAAGAGAUUUUAUUAUUUAAAUACUUGCUAGGAUAAUAUUUAUUUGCAGGGAAACCCACUCCCCCCACUCACCUCCUGCGCUGGGCGAAUGGCACCACUGCCGUGGACAAAGACUGCCUAUCACCUGCCGUUUCAGAAAACAAAACAUGCCAUGGCCAUCGAGCCAUCAGCCACAGCAGCCAACCCAGACGGGACACCCUGAGGGGAAUUUAGGAUGGAGAAAAGCAGGACACUGGCCCUAAAUAUUAGGAUGCAUAUCGAAGGCUUAGUUUCAAGGAGCCCAGACUCUUGCAUCGCCCCAAGCAUAGAAAAGCACUAAAAUCAUUAACGUCAGACGUCUGAUUUCUUUUAAUUAGUGAUAACCUUUUGAGGUUUGACAACAUUUUUUCAUUUUGUUUUGUUUUUCAGCAAAAACUCAUAUAAGCCUUAGCUUGUUGCAAGAGUCCCUUCGAUGUUUCCAUGAGGCUGUAUCCCAGGCUCUAGUCCUCAGAGAUUCCCCAGAUAAAACACAGUUCUCAACUCUGAGGUUGGGCAUUUUUUCUUUUCCGUCGACACCCAGGACAUCCACUGGUCCUGUACUAUCCGAGAGAAACAGGCACUUUCUUAGAUCUGGGAGUUAAACUUCCUUCAGAGACAUCUCAUGGCAACUACCUCACACACGGACUGUUUCCUGCCUGCUGGGGGUUUUAUUGGGAGCCCUCUGUUGCACAAUCACAAGAAUUUCAGUGUUCCCAGCCUGCAGUUCUGGGAUUAGAGGGUGCAGUUCUGGGAUUAGAGGGCUAAGUUCCUGGGGCCCUGGAAGGAAAAUCUAGCACUAGGAUUCUCUAAAGCCCAAACUUGAUGGGAAAUGGGUUUGAUGUUCACUUAGUGUGCAAACCAGGAAUUCCCUAAAAAUGACAUUGCGAGUCUAGUGGGAAUCCUACCAACAUGUUCGGGGAGGUUCCAGAACUUUCAUCAUUGUUUGGGAAAUGGGAUUCCAAUCUUGAAUGCCUCCUUCCCAGGCUCAUUCUUUCAUCCUGUAUCAUGAUGCCUGACUCUGCUUUUUAGAGCUUAUAGCAGGAGACAUCUCCCACCACGGCAGAUUUUUAAAAAAGAAGUUUGCAGUUGUUUACACAUACCCUGUUCUCUGGGGAACUUGGGUCAGGAUCCGAUUGUAGACCAGUUUUGUGCUCUGGGAGCAGCCAGCUGGAGAGACAGUUAAAGAAGAGAGAGGAGAAGCAGCAGCUAAAGGCAGGCUUUGUACAUUUUGUAAACAGUCUGGCCUCUAUCACCUACAGCCCAUGUGGUCUGGGGCAAAUGACUUUCUAAGAACCUCCAUUUCCUCCUCUGAAAAACCAAGGUAAGGCUGCUUACUCACCACAAAGGGCUGAUAUGAGGCAUAUAUAAACCACCAAGAGAGCACUUGUUGUGCUCAGCGAUACCGAAGAGGCUGUGGUUGUUUUUGCUCUUCCCUCCAGCAGCGAGUGGAAUGCGCCUCUCCUUGUCUCAUCUGCCUCCUCCCAGACCCCCCACCCCAAACCCAGGGGAGAACUCCGGGCAUCCAGAAGGUGUUCCAGAACACUGUUCUUAGGUGAAACAAAUUCAGGUUUCCAGUUGAAUAAAAGAGACAAUAGAUGAGUGGAUUUGGUCGUGAAACAGAUAUGUACAGAGACCCUGUUAAUGUUCCAGACUGUUCUAGGCACAGAAGAAACAGCUGUGAAUGAAACAGACAAGAAUCCAUGCCCUCAUGGAGCUUCUCUGCUAGAAAGGAGAGAGAGACUCUAAAUAAAGAAAUCGCGGAAAUGGACGGUAACUGGAGGAAGGGCUAUGCCAAAAAUAAAGCGAGGAAGGAGAAGGCCAGUGGAAGGGGACAGGGAGGCCAGAGAUGAGUCAGGGAGGUCGUCUUCUUUUUUAAAGAUUCUUAACAUUUAUUGAAGCGUAACGUACACACAGAAAAGUAUGCGUGUCAGAGUUCCCGUCGUGGCUCAGCGGUUAACAAAUCCGACUAGGAACCAUGAGGUUGUGGGUUCGAUCCCUGGCCUUGCUCAGUGGGUUGAUGAUCCGGCAUUGCCGUGAGCUCUGGUGUAGGUUGCAGACGCGGCUCGGAUCCUGCCUUGCUGUGGCUAUGGUGUAGGCCAGUGGCUACAACUCCGACUCGACCCCUAGCCUGGGAAUCUCCAUAUGCCU